AUUCUGAUCUGCCCUGGCAGAGGGAAAUUCUUCAGUUCAAGUUUCCUAUAUCAAUAUAUUCUGAGGAGUCUAGUCCAAUGAAAGAAGAUAAUGAGGACCAAAAUCAUUAACAAUAAAAAGAAAGAUAAAACUAAAACAAACAAAGUUAUAUGUGACUCUUCAUGACCCCAUCUGUGGGUUUUCGUGCAAAAAUACUGGGGUGUUUUGAUGAUUCCGUCUCCAGUUAAUGAAGAAACUGAGGCAAACAGGGUUAAGGACUUUACCCAAGGCACGCAGUUAGCCUGCACUUUGACAAGAUACUAGAUGUUCUUUCUUAAUUAGAAGGUGUCUUAUGCAAUACAUACUUCAAGCCACCAACCUGGAUGCUGGGAGAGAUGUCCUGGGACUUGCCAUUGGCAGACCAUGUUCAUUAGUAUUCAGCUUCAUAGUGGAAACUUGGAGAAGGCUGUGUCUCUCGAAAGGAAAGAACACCUGUUAAGCAGAGAGAAAUUUAAACAAACAAAGAACCUUGAUUAAUUAAGUUGCCUGCUGUUUGGAGUCUCCAGUAUCCUGCUGUUCUCAGGGAAAGAAUGUUAAGAUC
rnacentral:lncRNA from 1 species